UGGCUGGUGUUCCAAAUGAUUCCACGUG
rnacentral:piRNA from 1 species